rnacentral:rRNA from 1 species
UACGGGGGGGGCAAGCGUUGUUCGGAAUUACUGGGCGUAAAGGGCUCGUAGGCGGCCAACUAAGUCGGAUGUGAAAUCCCCAGGCUCAACCUGGGAACUGCAUCCGAUACUGGAUGGCUUGAAUUCGGGAGAGGGAUGCAGAAUUCCAGGUGUAGCGGUGAAAUGCGUAGAUAUCGGGAGGAAUACCAGUGGCGAAGGCGCUGUCCUGGACGAAGAUUGACGCUGAGGUGCGAAAGCGCGGGGAGCAAACAGG